ACUCCUACGGGAGGCAGCAGUAGGGAAUCUUCCACAAUGGACGAAAGUCUGAUGGAGCAACGCCGCGUGAGUGAAGAAGGGUUUCGGCUCGUAAAACUCUGUUGUUAAAGAAGAACAUAUCUGAGAGUAACUGUUCAGGUAUUGACGGUAUUUAACCAGAAAGCCACGGCUAACUACGUGCCAGCAGCCGCGGUAAUACGUAGGUGGCAAGCGUUGUCCGGAUUUAUUGGGGCGUAAAGCGAGCGCAGGCGGUUUUUAAGUCUGAUGUGAAAGCCUUCGGCUCAACCGAAGAAGUGCAUCGGAAACUGGGAAACUUGAGUGCAGAAGAGGACAGUGGAACUCCAUGUGUAGCGGUGAAAUGCGUAGAUAUAUGGAAGAACACCAGUGGCGAAGGCGGCUGUCUGGUCUGUAACUGACGCUGAGGCUCGAAAGUAUGGGUAGCGAACAGGAUUAGAUACCCUGGUAGGAUAGCG
rnacentral:rRNA from 1 species